rnacentral:rRNA from 1 species
UUCGCAAUGCCCGAAAGGGUGACUAUGCGACGCCGCGUGCAGGAUGAAGGCCUUCGGGUUGUAAACUGCUGUCGGGGAGGAAGAAACCUCGCGUGUUAAUAGCACGCGAGCUGACAUCACUCCCAAAGGAAGCCACGGCUAACUCUGUGCCAGCAGCCGCGGUAAGACAGAGGUGGCAAGCGUUGUUCGGAUUCAUUGGGUGUAAAGGGCAGGUAGGUGGUUGUGUAAGUCUGGUGUGAAAUCCCACGGCUCAACCGUGGAACUGCAUUGGAAACUGCGCGACUUGAGUCCCGGAGAGGUGAGGGGAAUUCCCGGUGUAAGGGUGAAAUCUGUAGAUAUCGGGAGGAACACCAGUGGCGAAGGCGCCUCUCUGGUCGUUUUCUGACGCUGAGACGCGAAAGCUAGGGGAGCAAACGGGAUUAGAUACCCCGGUAGUCCUAGCCGUAAACGAU